UAAACGCUGGCGGCGUGCAUUAGACAUGCAAGUCGAACGAACGACCUCGGGCUUGCCCGGGGAAGUUAGUGGCGAACGGCUGAGUAACGCGUAGGUGACCUGCCCUGAAGUGGGGAAUAACUGCCCGAAAGGGUGGCUAAUACCGCAUACGGUCAUGAGUUCAGUCUCAUGACCAAAGCCUUUGGGCGCUUUUGGAGGGGCCUGCGUUCGAUUAGCUCGUUGGUGAGGUAACGGCUCACCAAGGCGACGAUCGAUAGGUGGUCUGAGAGGAUGAUCACCCAGACUGGGACUGAGACACGGCCCAGACAACUACGGUUGGCAGCAGUCGGGAAUUUUGCUCAAUGGGGGAAACCCUGAAGCAGCAACGCCGCGUGAGGGAUGAAGGCCUUCGGGUUGUAAACCUCUUUUCUCAGGGACGAUAAUGACGGUACCUGAGGAAUAAGCCACGGCUAACUAC
rnacentral:rRNA from 1 species